AUUCCUGACCUCAUCACUUACUAGCUGGUUGAUCUUGGGUAAACCAUCUAACCUUUUUGUACCUCAUUUUUCCCAUCUGCAAAACGAGGACGAUGGCAUCACAAGCCUGAAAGGGCUGUUGUGAAUCUUCAGUGCGUUCAUACAUGUCAAGCACUCAGGGACAGGCCCAAGAAAGGAUUGAAGCCAGUUUAAGAAGAUACGUGAAACAUGCAAAACAUCAUAUAUAAAAAGCAAAGAUGAAAGAAGAAAAUAAAGCAAGGGAGGGGUCAUUACAUAGAAAGAAGACAUCUGUUGUUUUGGAGCAGUGAAAUAAGG
rnacentral:lncRNA from 1 species